UCAUUCACCAAGAUCAUUCUGUAUACUGACCUAUAAUUCAUCACUGAACAUUAGAUGCAUCGGUGUGAAAAUAACUCGGUGAAUUAUGUGGUUUUUAAUUCUAACUAAUAGGCACAAUUAUCUUCCUUAUCCUUAUCCAAUUUUUAUAAUGAAAAUAAACCUUUAUUUCAUUAUUAUCAUGUGAAACAUCUUUACACAGGUUGGUCAAAUCAAAGUGAUGAUUUCUAGAAAGAGGACUCUUCGAUAAAACCCUGAGAAAGACGUAAAAGCCAUGGAGGAAAGGACUACAGAGCUGCAAUGACUACAUUUAAUCUGGUUCCUUUAGCAUUUAAAAUUGAAAUGAACAAUUUGCAUCAAGUUUGUGCACAUACACUAUUAAAAUCAUAGGGUAAUUAUGAAAUGUAGCAACUCUCAUACUUGUAUAACCUUUAGCCUACACAUGCAUUAGCUAAUUGGAGAGAGUGUUUGUGUGUGAUAAGAAUGAUAUCGAUACCAAUUUUAUUUAAUUUGUGAAAGAGUACUUCGAUGGUAUGGGAAUUUUUUUUGAUCAUGCAAAGCAUGAGGACACUUAAUUGUAGCCCUGUCUGUCUCUCCUAUAGACUUCCUAAAGUAUUGUCACAGUGUAUAUGAAAUUGCAAGCAGCGCUUACUCCUGGGAUUUUUCCCCAUUCUGAUAUUAAUUAAUAUAUUUUCACUUUGUUAAAUAGCUGAAAGGUUUCUUGUAGUGUCAACAAACUAAAUUGUCAUAUGGGUCAACAUACAUGUACAUAAUUUUGCUUUGUUAUGUUUUUUCAUAAAUAAGUCAACCAUUUGUAUUCACAUCAUAUGCCUAGAUCUCAAACAAAAGCUAUUUGUAAGUAUUUUAUUUUCACCCUUACCAAUUGUUUCUGCAAUUCAUUUUACAGUUUGACUCAGAAAACUUAUUUUUUCAGUGAUUGCUCUGAAUGAUAAAUGUUCAUUAAUUAACAGUCAUUGAAAUCAAUGGUAUUUAGUUAUCUAGAGAGAUAGCCAACACUAGCAAGCUAAAAAUAUAUUUAUUUUCAAUUGAUUUAGUUUUUAUAUGUCACUGUAGAUUUUGACAUUGUGAUGUAUAUUUUUUAAAUUUCCUCUCAAAGAGAUGAACUUUUUCUCUAAAACUGCUACCCUACUAAUGCUUUAUGACAGAAAACCUGAAAAAUAAUUCAUCUUCACUACAGUAUAAAGCUCAAACUGCUCUUAGUAACAUUCCAUUCUAUUUAUGUAAUAAAUUGUUUGAUUAAUUAUCCGUACCAUGGCUACGCUAGUUCUUCCUGCUGAAGAAAUGGAAAUGGGAAAUAAAAAUAAAGUUCGUGUUUUCCUGAUUAUCGUACAAGUGGAAUAAUGUAACAAAUAUAUCUAUAAUACUAGAAUUACCCUUUAGAUUAAUGAAGAGAGGUAUCCUGCGAGAAAAUAAUUCCUGGUGAAUGUUAUGAUGGAAAUAGAAUGGGACCAUAUCUAUAUAUUAAGCUUGGUUAUUCUUGGCCAUGUUUGCUCAUUGUGAUAGAAAGUGCUGAGGGUAUUUUGAUCCCUGGUUAAAUAGUAUUUUAUAGAUGAUUUUUCUUUUAAAACAAAGGUUUAUUUAUAUGAACUAUGUAUAUUUUUUAGAUAUUUGAUCAUUAUCCAUUAUUUACUUCAUCUUUUGGUUACGUUUACAUGUGUCUGCAUAAAUUGUAAAGUGUCAUAUAAUAAAGUCGUAUUAUGUAUACAAUUUA